rnacentral:rRNA from 1 species
UACAGAGGGUGCGAGCGUUGUCCGGAAUUACUGGGCGUAAAGGGCGCGUAGGCGGCCGCCUAAGUCAGACGUGAAAUCCCUCGGCUCAACCGGGGAACUGCGUCUGAUACUGGGUGGCUUGAAUCCGGGAGAGGGAUGCGGAAUUCCAGGUGUAGCGGUGAAAUGCGUAGAUAUCUGGAGGAACACCGGUGGCGAAGGCGGCAUCCUGGACCGGCAUUGACGCUGAGGCGCGAAAGCCAGGGGAGCAAACGGG